AACGCGAAGAACCUUACCAGGUCUUGACAUCUCCUGACCGCCCUGGAGACAGGGUCUUCCCUUCGGGGACAGGACGACAGGUGGUGCAUGGUUGUCGUCAGCUCGUGUCGUGAGAUGUUGGGUUAAGUCCCGCAACGAGCGCAACCCUUGGUUCUAGUUGCCAGCAUUCAGUUGGGCACUCUAGAGCGACUGCCGGCGACAAGUCGGAGGAAGGUGGGGAUGACGUCAAAUCAUCAUGCCCCUUAUGACCUGGGCUACACACGUGCUACAAUGGAUGUCAAAGGUUGCGAAGCCGCGAGGCAGAGCUAAUCCCAGAAAACCAUUCUCAGUUCGGAUUGCAGGCUGCAACUCGCCUGCAUGA
rnacentral:rRNA from 1 species